ACAUGAAUCACUUGUGGGGCUUAUCAAAAUGCAGAUUCUGAAUCUCUAGGUCUGAGUGGGACUUGAGAACCAGCAUUUCUAAUGGGUGCCUAAGCAAUGCUUCU
rnacentral:pre_miRNA from 1 species